rnacentral:rRNA from 1 species
AGCGAACGCUGGCGGCAGGCUUAACACAUGCAAGUCGAGCGGGCCCUUCGGGGUCAGCGGCAGACGGGUGAGUAACACGUGGGAACGUACCCUUUGGUUCGGAAUAACGCUGGGAAACUAGCGCUAAUACCGGAUACGCCCUUUUGGGGAAAGGCUUGCUGCCGAAGGAUCGGCCCGCGUCGGAUUAGCUAGUUGGUGGGGUAAUGGCCUACCAAGGCGACGAUCAGUAGCUGGUCUGAGAGGAUGAUCAGCCACACUGGGACUGAGACACGGCCCAGACUCCUACGGGAGGCAGCAGUGGGGAAUAUUGGACAAUGGGCGCAAGCCUGAUCCAGCCAUGCCGCGUGAGUGAUGAAGGCCUUAGGGUUGUAAAGCUCUUUUGUCCGGGACGAUAAUGACGGUACCGGAAGAAUAAGCCCCGGCUAACUUCGUG